CCGAGUAUACAACUCCCAAACCCCUGUGAACAUACCACUUGUUGCCUCGGCGGAUCAGCCCGCUCCCGGUAAAACGGGACGGCCCGCCAGAGGACCCCUAAACUCUGUUUCUAUAUGUAACUUCUGAGUAAAACCAUAAAUAAAUCA
rnacentral:misc_RNA from 1 species